GACGAACGCUGGCGGCGUGCUUAACACAUGCAAGUCGUACGGUAAGGCCCUUUCGGGGGUACACGAGUAGCGAACGGGUGAGUAACACGUGAGUAACCUGCCCACAACUUUGGGAUAACGCUAGGAAACUGGUGCUAAUACUGGAUAUGUGCUCCUGCUGCAUGGUGGGGGUUGGAAAGCUCCGGCGGUUGUGGAUGGACUCGCGGCCUAUCAGCUUGUUGGUGGGGUAGUGGCCUACCAAGGCGGCGACGGGUAGCCGGCCUGAGAGGGUGACCGGCCACAUUGGGACUGAGAUACGGCCCAGACUCCUACGGGAGGCAGCAGUGGGGAAUAUUGCACAAUGGGCGCAAGCCUGAUGCAGCAACGCCGCGUGCGGGAUGACGGCCUUCGGGUUGUAAACCGCUUUCAGCAGGGACGAAGCUUUUUGUGACGGUACCUGCAGAAGAAGCACCGGCUAACUACGUG
rnacentral:rRNA from 1 species